AACGCAACUUGCGCCUGUUUUCAGGCAUGUCUAUUUGAGUACCGUUAACCAAAAAUAACAUGAGUUUAGUUGCUCUCAAGAGCUAAAGGUGGCUUGUAUACUGUGGGUUUGAAGUUAGAGACCCCCUUAUGGUCUUGUUCAUUCCUCCUUAUCUCACCGGUCUCAAAUUAGGCAAGAUUACCCGCUGAACUUAA
rnacentral:misc_RNA from 1 species